rnacentral:rRNA from 1 species
UACGGGGGGUGCGAGCGUUGUCCGGAAUCACUGGGCGUAAAGGGCGCGUAGGCGGCUUAUCAAGUCAGGCGUGAAAUUCCCGGGCUCAACCUGGGGGCUGCGCUUGAUACUGAUUGGCUUGAAUGCGGGAGAGGAUAGUGGAAUUCCCAGUGUAGAGGUGAAAUUCGUAGAUAUUGGGAAGAACACCGGUGGCGAAGGCGGCUAUCUGGCCCGUAAUUGACGCUGAGGAGCGAAAGCAUGGGGAGCGAACAGG